GACGAACCAUGCAAACGUUAUUCGGAAUUACUGGGCUUAAAGCGUGCGUAGGCGGCUCAGAAAGUUGGGUGUGAAAUGCCUCGGCUCAACCGAGGAAUUGCGCCCAAAACUACUGGGCUUGAGGGAGUUAGAGGUGAGCGGAACUCACGGUGGAGCGGUGAAAUGCGUUGAUAUCGUGAGGAACACCGGAGGCGAAAGCGGCUCACUGGGGCUUAUCUGACGCUGAGGCACGAAAGCUAGGGGAGCAAACGGG
rnacentral:rRNA from 1 species